AUUCCCUGAGUAACUGCGAGUGAAACGGGACCAGCCCAGCGCCGAAUCCUUUCUGGCAACAGUGAAGGAACUGUGGCGUGUAGAAGGCGUCUGCCAGUGUGGUUAACCUGCGCAAGUUCUCCUGAGCGAGACUCCAUCCCAUGGAGGGUGCAAGGCCCGUAUCGCAGGUAACUGAUGCUGGUUAGCGUCUUUCGGAGAGUCGCCUUAUUUGCGAGUAUAAGGUGAAGUCGGUGGUAAACUCCAUCGAAGGCUAAAUAUGACCACGAGUCCGAUAGCGAACAAGUACCGUGAGGGAAAAUUGAAAAGCACUUUGAAGAGAGAGCGAAACAGUGCGUGAAACCGCUCAGAGGCAAGCAGAUGGGGCCUCGAAGGCAGAGCAGCGAAUUCAGCCGGCAGUAGGGCAUGGUUGGCGGUGGCUUGGGAUUGCUAAGACCCGGCUGCUGUCAGUGCGUUGUGCGACUGCCGGUGCACUUUCGUUGUAUUGUACACAACCGCCGUUGAGCGAGCAUCCGUUCGGCUGGCAGCGUGAAGCCCAUAGCCUGUCAAAGGGUGUUGGUGCUUACAGCUGGCAUGUAACGCGUUUGCGCCUCAACCGGUCAUUCAUGGCAUGUACCAGCUGUUUAUACGGCAGUUGGGCCGGUAUGCUCCGAUUGGGCGCUAGGGAUGACGAUCGCAAGUUCGGCUUCUUAGCGUCACAGUGGACUCGUUGCCGGUCUUCAACGUAGGUACAUUGUUGAUUCGGUUGUGAG
rnacentral:rRNA from 1 species